GCGGCAGCUCCUCUGGACAUGGACCCCGAGACCUGCCCUUGCCCUACUGGUGGUUCCUGUACCUGCAACGGCUCCUGCAAGUGUGAGGGAUGCAAAUGCACCUCCUGCAAGAAGAAUUCUGACGGACAGCUAUAAUGGAGACCUUCUACCCUGGUCCAAACCCUCACCUCAAAACCUCAAGAACCU